AGAAGAUAAAAAAUAACAUAAAACAGGUUCAGGCCCAUCUGACAACCGCCCGACACCUAAUUUCACCGCCGGGCGGUUUCCCUCAAGCUGCAGAACCGUCCGACACCACGGUCAACCGCCCGGCGCUGGUCAACUGCGCUCUAGUUGUCUGGUUGACUUUUCCUGUUUGACUGGUUGACUUUUCUGAUUGACUGGUUGACUUUUCUGCAUAUCUUCAACCUUUCUUUCGUUUUCUUGAGUCUAAGACCUUC
rnacentral:lncRNA from 1 species